CCUUCCCUCACAAGAAAUCAGGUUCUAAAUCACCAAAAAUCUCUCCCCCUUCAAGUCUCCUACUAAGCUUGAGAAUGCUCUAAGAAAAUAGGCUAGGUUAGAGCAAAAUUUAGGGAGCAAAAGAAAGAAGAUGAAGCUGAAAUUUCCUUGGCAAAUGGAGGAAGAAGAUUCGGUCAAGUGAGGAGAAGAAGAGAUUGUUUUUGUGAGCUUUUGUGGUGACGUAUAGGCUGGAAUGAAGCAUAAUAAACUCUAACUAAUUACUAGUGGUAGACAAGAAUAAUUUGAAUUGGUUUCUC
rnacentral:lncRNA from 1 species